GAUGAACGCUGGCGGCGUGCCUAAUACAUGCAAGUCGAGCGAACAGACGAGGAGCUUGCCCCUCUGACGUUAGCGGCGGACGGGUGAGUAACACGUGGAUAACCUACCUAUAAGACUGGGAUAACUUCGGGAAACCGGAGCUAACACCGGAUAAUAUAUUGAACCGCAUGGUUCAAUAGUGAAAGACGGUUUUGCUGUCACUUAUAGAUGGAUCCGCGCCGCAUUAGCUAGUUGGUAAGGUAACGGCUUACCAAGGCAACGAUGCGUAGCCGACCUGAGAGGGUGAUCGGCCACACUGGAACUGAGACACGGUCCAGACUCCUACGGGAGGCAGCAGUAGGGAAUCUUCCGCAAUGGGCGAAAGCCUGACGGAGCAACGCCGCGUGAGUGAUGAAGGUCUUCGGAUCGUAAAACUCUGUUAUUAGGGAAGAACAAAUGUGUAAGUAACUAUGCACGUCUUGACAGUACCUAAUCAGAAAGCCACGGCUAACUACGUG
rnacentral:rRNA from 1 species